rnacentral:rRNA from 1 species
CCCCUAGAUGUUCUGGGCCGCACGCGCGCUACACUGAACAGUUCAACAAGUCUUAACCUUGGCCGAUAGGUCUGGGCAAUCUUUGAACGCUGUUCGUGAUUGGGAUAGACCUUUGCAAUUAUGGGUCUUCAACGAGGAAUUCCUAGUAAACGCAAGUCAUCAGCUUGCAUUGAUUACGUCCCUGCCCUUUGUACACACCGCCCGUCGCACCUACCGAUUGAAUGGUCCGGUGAAAUCUCGGGACGGCGGCUUGGUCGCUUGCGUCCGACUGCUGAAACUUGAUUAAACCAUNUNAUUUAANGGAAGGUGAANUCGUANCA